rnacentral:rRNA from 1 species
UACGUGUGAGGCAAGCGUUAUUCGUCGUUAAUGGGUCUAAAGGGUUCGUAGGCGGUGCGGCAAGUUGGGGGUGAAAUCUCUGGGCUUAACCCAGAGGCUGCUUUCAAAACUGCUGUGCUUGAGUGUGAGAGAGGCUCGUGGAAUUGCAGGUGUAGCGGUGAAAUGCGUAGAUAUCUGCAGGAACACCCGUGGCGAAAGCGGCGAGCUGGAUCACUACUGACGCUGAGGAACGAAAGCUAGGGGAGCAAACAGG